AUUAAAACCACAGGGCUGCAGGGGACAAGAGAAAAGAAUUCCUUCCAACCGCUUCAGCUUAGUGCUGUGGGUGCUGAGGCUGCAGUGACUACGGCACCUGUCCAGAGCACCUCCCAGAGCUACCUGCAGAGCUGGCCUCCUAGAGCCCCAGCUUCGUGUCAGCCGCAGCAUGUUCCUAACACUCUUCUGCACCACUCAUGGACAAAACAGCCUAAGAAGAGACCCUCAACUUCAACUCAGCGUAAAAUAGUCCUGAAUGAUGGACAGACCAUUGAAUUCCUCCACCAAGUUGACAACCAGUACUUAACCAGUCUCUUUUGGAACUGCUUUUGUAGCUGACUACAUGGUAAAUAUUUUUCUUUUCUAGAUUCUUUGAGAUAUAACUAAUGAAAACUGUAUGUACUUAAAGUUUGCAACUUGAUCUCUUGAUAUACUUAUACCUUGUGAAGUCACCUAAAUGCUAAGCCUCUUUAUGCUGGCUUAUAAUUUCACAAGGUUCAACCACAAAAAAAAUACCUUGUUAAGAAAUAUUGAUUUGAGAAUGAUAGUGCUUAAGUAGCAAAAGAAAAACAUCUUAAAAGGAAUAUUCUUAUGUGUGGAAAGAGUUAAUAUUUUUAUUUGCUCUGGAAUCUCAGUUAUGUUUAUUUAGAGAGACAGCAGUUAAUAAUAUUAGCAUGUAUUAUCCAUUACAUUCCUCAUAGGGAAUUAAGAACAGAUAAAUGGGACCCUCAAGGAGACUUCCAAUUCCUGCACUGAUACUUAAUCUUGGAGUCAGAGAAGAGGCAAAAAAAUGCACAUAAGUAUAAAUAUGUAUGAUUAGUAGUGCAGUGAUGUUCAGAUGCCUUUUUGGCAAUAACAAGCCAAUUGAACACACAUAGACAUUAAACACAAGACUUUUUUUUUUUUUAAACAUGGAAGACAUCUUUUUCCUCCAAUGCAUUUCUCGUGUGUGGUUGUUUUUGUUAGUUUAGUGGUCAGUUUUCUUAAGUUGCUUUAUAUUCUCUAUUAAUUUGCUAGGGCUUCCAUAAAGAAUCACAAACUGGGUGGUUAAAUAAUAGAAAUUCAUUUUCUUGCACUUCUGGAGGCUAUAAAUCCUAGAUCAGGGGUCAGGAGGGUUGGUUCCUUCUGAGGGCUCUGAGGAGAGGACUUUACACCUCUCCUAGCUUUAGACAGCAUGCUGGAAAUCUUUGCUGCUACUGUUAAACUCCAAUAUUCCCUACAAUGCCUGGGCAUGGAAUGAUAUUGUGGCCAAUGAGAUAUGCGCAGAAGCAAUGAGAUAUGCGCAGA
rnacentral:lncRNA from 1 species